GAAAUAUAUUAAAGACAAAAGAUUUCAAAUUCUAAUUUUGUCCGUCCAAGAAUGUAUCAAAUGUUACGUACAAGAAAACACUUCGCGACAGGCAGAUUCAGAAUCAAAACAAGUUUUGAAUGUUUCUUAGUUUCCAAAGAUGUGUUUUGAUGGAAGAAUUGCCUGAGGAUAUUUUUAUUAAUAUUUCAUGUAGAGUUCAUUAUUAUUAUUUAUUGAUAUAAAUACUAUUUGUAUUAUUUUGAAGCUCA